UGAAGCACUGUCGAUGGCUGCCAGUGUUGCAAUCUGGCAUAAGCCCGGCUGGGCAAAGGUUUCUGCAGGAAUAGCCUGGUCAACAAGAAGAGUUCAUCGAUAUCGUGGCAUACUAUUUUUAACUGGUAAUCUUACACCUAUUAUUUCCUUAUGACUGAAAUUAACCAUUUUUGCCGACUUGAAAGAAUCAUGUGGCAGUGCUGUAGAAUUUUUUUUUUUCUCAAAAUUAAUCUUUAUGUGAUCUCCAAGCUCUUAAUCUUCUGUGGUAUGUACGUGCUGUGCAUAUACUGAGAAGCUAGAAUAUAAUGCGAAGAUUUCUCUGUGUAAUCUCUAAGCUUUGUGUUUCUUUCUGAUAUGGUACAAGGGGAUCUAACAAGAUCCUGGAACAUAUAAAUAGGUACCUGACUAGGUGGAGAGAUGAACACGAGCGAAGCAGCAAGACAAGAGAUUAGCUGCUUGGAUACUACUCCAUAUUUGUUCAGUGGCGUUUCCUCAUUCAGAGAGCAUCUGACAAUUUUCUGCCUGGUG
rnacentral:lncRNA from 1 species